rnacentral:rRNA from 1 species
AGUGAACGCUGGCGGUAGGCCUAACACAUGCAAGUCGAACGGCAGCACAGUAAGAGCUUGCUCUUACGGGUGGCGAGUGGCGGACGGGUGAGGAAUACAUCGGAAUCUACUUUUUCGUGGGGGAUAACGUAGGGAAACUUACGCUAAUACCGCAUACGACCUACGGGUGAAAGCAGGGGAUCUUCGUACCUUGCGCGAUUGAAUGAGCCGAUGUCGGAUUAGCUAGUUGGCGGGGUAAAGGCCCACCAAGGCGACGAUCCGUAGCUGGUCUGAGAGGAUGAUCAGCCACACUGGAACUGAGACACGGUCCAGACGCCUACGGGAGGCAGCAGUGGGGAAUAUUGGACAAUGGGCGCAAGCAUGAUCCAGCAAUACCGCGUGGGUGAAGAAGGCCUUCGGGUUGUAAAGCCCUUUUGUUGGGAAAGAAAAGCAGCAGGUUAAUACCCCGCUGUUCUGACGGUACCCAAAGAAUAAGCACCGGCUAACUUCGUG